AAUGAUAAGAUCAUAUACAGAUUACGACAAUUUGCUCAGACACAUGUCUAGCUUGCCAAACUACGGUACCAUCUAUGACCACAAUUGUACCAACCAUUGUGGUCCUAUCAGAUAUUCUACAGUUACAGCAGUACUUUUUAGUCAAAAGUGAUCCCUAACAGAUAUUCGCAUCACCGCUCUUGUCAGAGGGUAUAUCGUCAUCCAUAGGGAACGGUCGUAUCACUUCUUUCCAGACUAGAUGGGGAAGGAAAAAAUAGAUACCCCUCAGAGAUAAAAAACCUAACGAGACACUUAAUCCAUUAUGUAUUUUAAUAUAGAAACAUAUAUUUCUCAAACCAUUUAGUCUCAUUCCC
rnacentral:lncRNA from 1 species